rnacentral:lncRNA from 1 species
GGCAGUUAGGCUGCAGUGAAUUCUACAAAGAGGCUAUGGGAAAGAAACCUGGAAAGUACCCUUGGCUGUGUACAUUUGAGUAAAGAGAGCACUAUAAAAUCAAAAACCAAUGAAAUGGUUUCCAGAACACAGAACUAUUAAGCUUAAGAAAAGGACAGAAGGAACUGAAGAGAGAGGAACUGUUUUGGAGCAUCACACUUCCACCUCAGAAGAAAUAAGGAAGGAAGGAGGAGGGUGUUCCCACGGCUCUUCAACCAGGCCGGCUCUUCAGCCUACAUCCCCAUCUCAUCAAGUAAAAGGGAUUUUUCAACUGGACCAACCAGAUGGUUUAACAGUGCACUCCCACACCAUUCAACUACGCAAGGGAGAUACACUUAACAUAUGCAGUCGUAUAACACCUACUAACAUUUUCAAACAUUAAACCUUUAAAAAAGAGUUCUAAAGAAAUAGAAGCUUGAAGUAUCAUCUCUCAAGUAUAUAGACACUACUUCAUGGUGUGGUAAUAUAUGCAUAUAGAAGCUAGUAAACACCUCCAGGAGAUGCAAAAGGAAUUAGAACUGCCACAAGGUGCAAGCAAAACCUUGAGUCUCCAUUGAUGGUGAAGUAUUUUCACUAUUUGGCAUGUCUUCUCUAGUACCUAGAGCAGUGCGUUGCAUGCAGUAGCAGGUUUAUAAACAUUUGCGAGUAAAACAUCCAACCUGAUACUCAAGGUAAUCAAUCUGCAUCCCAUUUUGGAUGAGAAUAUUUGCAACUUUGAAGGUUAUUUUAAGGACAGCAGCAGAAGAAUUAUGGCAGCUCUUCACGGAAAAAAAAAUGGCAACAAUAAAAUCAGCAACUCCUGCCAAAUAAAUGGGCAUAAAAAAGAAAUCAUAGACUGCUGGCAAUGGUGGGGAAAAAGUUAUAAAAAUUGUCUCUGCACCAUCUUCCUUUUGUCCUCUAAAAUAUUCACAUUAGCAAAAGUAUAUAACAGCUGAUGAAGAAAUACUGAUAAUUUGUCUUUGUAAGUAUAUCGAAAACAUUUCAAGAUCUAGAAAUUUGAAAUUGUUGACAAGUAUUUAUCUGUUUAUUCACAAAUUUGAAAUCAACCUCAGGAAUGCUCAUUCUGAUUGAUAUACUUAGGUCAUAAAUUUUUAAGACCACAGAUUUCCAGGGACUUUUUGGAAAAUCACCCAGUAAAACAAUGUCUUUUUGCAGGGGACUAGCUUCAGUAUUUUGGCUUCUUUUUGCUUCUUUGCAACAAAUUGGGAGACAAAGGUGGGAAAGUUUUUUUCAAUAAGUUAAUAAUUUUUUAAAGGUCAAAAUUUUGUUCUUUGCUUAUAUUAGAAUUAAACACUGUGAGAUUCUCUCU